AGGCAAUUAGUCUUAACAAUUCGAAUUUGCACUGUCAUUCUUUUUCAACAGUGAAGACACCGCUAAUUUAUUUAAAGUUUAUGUAAAGAAAAUAUCAGCAACACCCCAGUACCAAAAUGUCGUCGUCGGAUGUACAGACGUUAAUGGAGAUGGGAUUUUCACAGAAUAGAGCUGAGAAGGCUUUGGCCAAAAGUGGUUACAAAGGAGUCCAGCUAGCAAUGGAUUGGCUAUUUGCUCAUGAAGAUGACCCCGACAUUGAUGAACCAUUCGAGGCACCAAAAGGAGUUGUUCUAGGAAAGCAAGACGAUGGUUCUGGGCCUUCAAAUACUGAGCCUACUGAGGCCAGCUCUGAUGCAGGGGGAGAUCAAGCGCAGGCCCGGUCCCUAAAGUGUGAUGUAUGUGGAAAACUUCUUAAAAGUGAGUUGGAUGCUCAGGCUCAUGCUGCACGGACACAACAUGACCAGUUUUCUGAAUCCACAGAAGAAAUCAAACCUUUGACAGAAGAGGAGAAGAAAAUACAAUUAGAAAAAUUACAGGAAAGAAUAAAGCAAAAAAGAUUAGAAAGAGAAGAACAGGAGAAAAAAGAACAACUGGAACGGGAAAAGUCACGCAGGAAAACUGGAAAGGAACUCGUUGACAUAAAACAGAGAAUGGAGGAGCAAGAAAUGAAGAAAAUAGCAGAGCAAAGAAGAAGAGAGAAAAUGGAAGAAAAGCAAGCCAGUUUGGCUCAGGGGGUCAGUCAAAUGCUCCUGCACCUAAUAAUACCCCUGCUCCUGCCAGCACGCAACCUCCACCUGCUGCAGAGAAGAAAGACUAUUCAGAGUGCAGAUUACAGAUCAGAUUAACAAAUGGACAAGCGUUAACACAGACAUUCUCAGCCAAGGAGCCUCUAGCAGCUGUGCGUGUGUACAUUGAGACCAACAGGACUGACGGAUCAGGACCUUUUUCCCUAAUGACUAAUUUUCCCAAAAAAAUCUUCCAAGGAGAUGAUUUUGAAAAACCUUUAGAUGUUUUAGGAUUAGUACCAUCUGCUGUACUAAUGGUGAAAGGACAAUGAUGCAGAUCCCAGGUACAUGAGUAAAAAUUCACCUGCAUGUGCCAAGCAGAUCCAAGGUGUGGAGAAUGAGUUGACUUUAAUUGGUGCAAGCCAACUUCAAUUCUAUGUUUAUAUGCUGUUUGAAAUGAUUAUGUCUCUAUUUCAAGGUUUUUCAAAAUUUCAGAUUAUUAGCGAAUUUGUCAUUAUUUGAUUACAUGUAUUUUUUUAAACAUGUGUUUGUAAUUUUACAUGUUCUUCAUAACCUUUGACAGUUCUCUGUUGAAUCACAUUCAUGUAAUUACAAGUACUGCACUGAGAAUGCUGUCAAUACCAAUUAAGGUACAUACCAUGUAUUUGUAUGGACAUGUUUUCAUGUUGAUAAUUUGUGAAAUUUUGAUUGUUUAAACAAUAAAUAAAAUUAAUUAAGCUUAUUUUUAAGCUUAAACAUU
rnacentral:misc_RNA from 1 species